CUUAAUUAAUUAAUAGUUAACUCAGUACCUUUGGUUUAUUCUCUUCGUCGAUUUCUCUUCUUUCUCUUCAAAAUCAGUCCACUCCUUCUCUUCUUCAAAGGCGAAGAGAUUCAAUUUUUUCUGUUUCCUUUUCCUCUUCCUCUUCAUCCACCCAUCUCUUCAUCUCCUCCUCUAUAAAUCCACCCAAAUCCUCUCUUCCUCUCCACCACAAAAACACCAAUUCCAGCACCCAAUGCAACUUGAAGGCGGCUUUGUCAUAAACCCUAGCACCCUCGAUCUUCGGAUCUCGGAUCUCACAGGGCUUCAAAAUCGUUCGUCAAAUCUCCUAUGGACAGAUCUUCGACUUCUUCAUUUUCAAAACUCUCUGUCCCAAUCAAAUCGACAUCAUACACCAAUUCUCACUCGCCAGGUCUCUCUCUCUAUAUAUAUUAUAUACACGCAAUAUAUGUGAAUUGACAAUAUAUUACUGCUUCAAAUAUUUUUUUUCCUUCUAUUUAGAUCUCUGUCGGAACUCGGAGCCGUGUUGUCGUUGUUGCCUCUGCACAGUGCAGUUGCUGCAGCGAGGAUGACGUCAUGCCUGAGCCUAGCUUCAGGGAGUUAUAGAGCUCUUUCAUAGGGUACACUGCCAAAAUCAUUUAAACAGUGUGAUAUUAGAUUGAUAAUUAUUAUUUUUUGUCAUCAUAUUAAUAGAUUGAAAUUAAUGUUUAGUGGUCUGAAUGAUUUAGUUUUGAAUAUAAACUUACAAAGCCAUUAGUUGAGCUAAUUGAUUUGUUUCUGUGAUAAGGUUAAUCCUAAUACUUCAAAUUCAGUAACUCCUAUUUUCUUUUAAUUGAGCUACUUAUUUACUCCAUAUGGAUCUGAACUAUUUUAUUUCUGAUGUCCAUUAGAAUGAUCUUGCCUGGAAAUGUUGCGAUUGACGCAUCAAUAUUGGUAAAUAUUAUUUGUAUUCUUGAAUUGCCCAGAAAAAUUGAAUCUUCUAUUUUGGUUCCAUUAUUUAUGAUUUAGCCUGGUGUUGGGCAUUUAAGGAUCACAAAGCCUUGGUUGCAAAAGCAUAUAAGGAUUUUACAUUUAUCAGUGUAGUAGUGAUUAUGGUACCAAAACAAAGCCUUGGUUGCAGAAUCCUCUUUCCAACUAUGGUGCAAAGUGUCAAUCUUUUUUUAAGGUAUAUCUCUUUAUGUUAUCCAUUUUAAUUCAAUAACCCUUCCUCUGCUCUUUAUAUGGGCGUGCCCACGUUAGAUUAAAAACCCUAACACCAGAUUCGUUUUUAUUAUAUAUCCAUCAUGUUAUCAAUUUUGUUGUAAUCCCUUGAAUUUCAAUAUCAAUCAUAAAAAAAUUCUUUGCUUUAAUUCGCGGAAGGGCCAUGUUUUGUCGGAAUUGUUAGUAAGUUCCAUUCCUCCCCCCUCUUUUUUAAACCAUAAGUAUAUAAUUAGUUAUGCUUCUUUUGUGAUGAUUCCAUCGGGAUUCUCUUUAGAAAUGUAUGAAUGUUAUAUGGUUUGAAAUUAGUUGUAUGUAGCUAUUAUCUUCCUUUUUCUUAUUGGAAAAUUUCAUUUUUAAACUUAAUUUUGGGCUUAACUAAGUUAAAAUUGAUUCAAAUUAUCAUGUUGAAAUGGAAUAUAUCUAUAUUAUGAUAUUUUGGUGUUAAUUUAUGGCAGACAUAGUUUAUGGUGGAUAUGAAAUGUGAUGGGUGUGUUUCCGCCGUCAAGAAUAAGGUUCAAACCGUUAAUGGUGGGUGACAAUUUUCACAUUAGUUAGUUAAAAAUUGAUCAAUGAUUGUGAUUUUGUGCUAUAUAGUGUCCGUAAAUGAUCUUUCUAAGUAAUCAAGUGGUUAUGGUUCUUGGGUCAUCUCAUGUUCGUUAGUCUAUAAUAAAAUUUAUUAUUUUCAAACCUUACAUGAAUCAUAUUAAUUUUGAAUUUUAGAAUUUUUGGAGUUGGCUUUAUAAAGUCAAGAUGGGGUUUUGUUGGAAUAGAUGCAGUAGUGUUUGCAUCAGAUGAAAAGUUCCCCAGAAUCCAUAAAUGCAUAGUUAUACACAUAUAUAUUAUCUCUUGAACUAAGUUCAAUUUGAAAUUUGAUGAGGUUGAUAGUGGUGGGACAAACCAUUGAUUAAAUUGUUGACUUGACAAAAUAUGUGUUGGGCAAAAAAUUUAGUCAAAGUUUUCAGAAUCUGAAAUUUCUCUAGAUGUAAGUGGAUCCUCACUGUAUACAUGCUAUCUGAAUAUAUGUGUGUAAUAUUUGGUCCAUUAGUAGUUAAAUCAGAUGCCUUAUAUCUAAAAGGAAGCAAGGACUCUUAAAUAUGAGUUCAAGAUUCUAUUUUUAUGCAUGCACUUCUUUAUAUAUACUUUGUUAAUAAAUGUUAGGACAAAAGGUGAACUCUCUUUCUAGAAGUAGAAUUUUUUUGUCGAUGGGAUGAAAAGUUGUGUCAAAUUAGAUUUCAUUAAGGUAGUUGAAUAUUUGUACUUUAGGCUGAGAAGAAUUUGAAGAUAUACAAGUAACUUUAUGUGCACUACUUUUGAGUUUUGAUGCCUAAGUUUGUUGGUCUACAAAAAGAAAACUACGCCCUCUGCACUGAAAUUAGAGUCCAGGUGAAAAUCAAAAUAUCUAAUUUGUGAUAUUUGAACUGAUAUCGGCAGUGUAUUUGGUGUUAAAACUUUCAUUUCAACAUCUUUUACACACAAUAGUAUCAAAAAUAUUAUCAUAAGAAAGUAUAUGAAUAUAGUAUCAAAGAUUUCAAAAUAUAGUUGCUUCAAUUUUUCUUGAUUCGACUCCUUUUCUUUUUGUUUAGUUUUGAUUUGUAUUGUGCAAUCAAUAUUGUAAGUGAGCUCAUUGAAUUUACAUUGUUGGCAUAGAUGAUGCAUAAUCAAGGAUAGGGAAUUACAUAUUUUAUUUUUCCUAAUUCAAAUGAUUUUUCUCACAAGUUUAUUAUUUAAUCUUUUAGUUUAAAUUAAUAAUGUGCUUAUGGUGUGUUUGAUUUGGUCCAUUGAAGCCUUAUUUGAAGGGUUUCCUCCUCUUCAAGAAUGUUAAACUUCGGCCAAAGUUAUCAUUUUCAGAAAAAGAGAACGAUCAGAAGAAACAUGAAGUUUUGUGGGCUCACUAUUUUGGUACAGAUGUCUUUGUUUGGUUGAAGGUGUGUUUUUGUUGAAGUUAUUUUUGUUUUCUGGUCUUUGAUAUCAGGGGUGUAGCAAACAAUGUUUGAAUAUAAAAUAUUAGAGGAGAAAAAAGAAAAAAGGCUUUUGAGUGGUAGAAGAUAGGGAAGGAAAGAGUAUAUAUUACAAAUGAAUUGGAUUAUUUAUGGUUAAUCGAGUUUUGCAGAUGGUGUUUGAUAAUCUUAUGGUUAGAAGAGGACGGCUCUAGCAUAUUGAUGUUAUUUCAGCAAGUGAAGUGAUUUCAUUUUGUGGUUGGAUUCUCAUUUCUCUCUUCAUGUUGGGCUGUUGAACUACUUAUGUACUAUCUUUGCCCUAUUGGUGUUAAAUAUCUUUAGAAAUUGUGUUAUUUUUAAUGGAGGCAGGACUAAGUGUAACAUUUUUGUGUUUUAAGAACUACCUUUCGUGGAUGAAAGGUAAAUACAGAGUUUUAGUUUCAGACAACAGAUAUAUAUUCUCAAAUUCUGAGUGUUGUUAAGGUUGUAUGGGACACCAUGUUGUUGUUCUCCUCGGGGAAUGUUUCAGGUAUGUCUACAUGGCUUUUGGGUUGUUUUGGUUUAACAAUUGGAAGGUGGAUUACUAUAAAGUUUUGUUGUAUGCAGGACAUGAUUUUAGAGUUUUGAUAUCACUGAUCUUAUGUCAAGUUGAAAAUAUGUUAAGGUUUUCUAUUUCAUUUUAUGGUGUCUCUAAUAUUAUUUGGUUGUAUUGAUAGUUUAAAUAUUUGGACUUCAAGGUUAGAACCCAGGACCCAGUUUGUAAUAGUAAUAUUCAAUGUUGCUACAUAUUGUGUACUUCCAGGUUUUUUUUACAUAAAUAGUG
rnacentral:lncRNA from 1 species